GGUCUUUUGUUUAUAUAAAAGAUCUGGCCUGCCCAAUGAUUGUUUUAAUGGCUGCAGUAUUUUGUCUGUACAAAGGUAGCAUAAUCAUUUGUCUUUUAAUUGAAGUCUGGUAUGAAUGGUUGGAUGAAAAAUUUACUUUCUUUAUUUUAAAUAUUUAAUUUGAUUUUUGAGUCAAAAAGCUUAAUUGUAUUUAGAGGACGAGAAGACCCUAUAGAACUUCACUUAUUUUAUUUUGGUUUUUAUUUGUAAAUAAUUUUUUAUUAUUUUAGGAUAAGUUUUAUUGGGGUGAUAAAAAAAAUUUUAUAACUUUUUUUAUUUUUUUCAUUUAUUUAUGGUUGUUUUGAUCCUUUAUUAUGGAUAAUAAGAUUAAGUUACCUUAGGGAUAACAGCGUUAUUAUUUCAGAGAGUUCAUAUUGAUGAAAUAGUUUGCGACCUCGAUGUUGGAUUAAAAUUAGUGUCAGGUGUAGAAUAUUGAUUACUGGGUCUGUUCGACCUUUAAUUUUUUACA
rnacentral:rRNA from 2 species